GUACAUCUAUUUGACAGACCCUAGGCAGUUACUGUCUUCUUCUAAGGUCUCCCUUACAGAUGCAAGAAGAAAGUCUCCUCGUGUUUUCUGUCUGUCUGACUGUGGCAGCCAAGACAGACUAGAGGAACACAGAA
ensembl:snoRNA